rnacentral:misc_RNA from 1 species
GGAAAAUGCAUGGAGAGGAAUUAGUUAUAAGCUGUUUAGCUUGAGCCAAUGGACAAAUUCACUGGUUCUUCUUUUAUUUGUUAUUGUAACUGAGAGGAGAGCUAUUGUAAUUCUCCUAUUGGAAUAUAAUCAUUCUUAUUUCUUUCGUUCCCAUUUCUGUCAUUUACAAUUCCAGUUCCUUACCCUAUAUUCACAUAAAUUUGGUCAA